rnacentral:rRNA from 1 species
UAUCCCUACGGGACGCAGCAGUGAGGAAUAUUGGUCAAUGGGCGGGAGCCUGAACCAGCCAAGCCGCGUGAGGGAAGAAGGUACAGCGUAUCGUAAACCUCUUUUGUCAGGGAACAAAGGCGGGGACUAGUCCCCGGAUGAGGGUACCUGAAGAAAAAGCAUCGGCUAACUCCGUGCCAGCAGCCGCGGUAAUACGGAGGAUGCGAGCGUUAUCCGGAUUUAUUGGGUUUAAAGGGAGCGUAGACGGCAGGGCAAGUCUGGAGUGAAAGCCCGGGGCCCAACCCCGGGACUGCUUUGGAAACUGC